AUCAGCAGCUAUGCCGACUAAGUUAACUAUCUGAAGCUAAGCAGGUUUGGGCUUGCCUAGUACUUGGAUGGAAGACAAAGUAGGAAAGCUGGGUUACCACUGGAA
rnacentral:rRNA from 1 species